GACGUAGGGCGCGAGCGUUGUCCGGAUUUAUUGGGCGUAAAGAGCUCGUAGGCGGCUUGUUACGUCGACUGUGAAAACCCGCGGCUCAACCGUGUGGUCUGCAGUCGAUACGGGCAGGCUAGAGUUCGGUAGGGGAGACUGGAAUUCCCGGUGUAGCGGUGGAAUGCGCAGAUAUCAGGAGGAACACCGGUGGCGAAGGCGGAUCUCUGGGCCUGUUCUGACGCUGAGGCGCGAAAGCGUGGGGAGCAAACAGG
rnacentral:rRNA from 1 species